CUGGGGCUUCUCCAUUGAAAUCAAAAUUAUGACUGGUGUAUUAUAUAAAGUUACACAUCACAACAUUUCAGUACACUUAUUAAAAUGUUUUCUGACUUUAACCUAGGAGGCAGGUAGUCUAGCAGUUAAUGCAUUGCUAGUAACAUAGGAUGCACAUUUUAAUCUAGAGCUGACAAAAUCAGUCUUUGUCCUUGAGCAAGGCACUUGGAUUGAAAUUGAUAAUGGCUGUGACCCCACAUUUUACAGGUGUCUCAGAGGGAGUUAGAAUGUGUAAAAUGGUACAUACACUGCAUGAAGCAGAAUAUAUUUUUUCUUCAUUAAUUGAUUAUUCGUCCAAAUACAUCUCUAAUCACAUACACUGCCUUCCAAAAGUUUGGGGUCACUUAGAGAAAAAUAAAUUCAAAUAAUAAUCGUUUAGAAAUACAGUGCAGAUAUUGUUGAUGUAAACGAGUAUUGUAGCUGAAAACAGUUGAUUUUUUUUAUGGAAUAUCUACAUAGGCGUACAGAGGCCCAUUAUCAGCAAGCAUCACUCCUGUGUUCGAAUGGCACGUUGUUUGCUAAUCAAAUGUAAUACUUUUUAAAGGCUAAUUGAUCAUUAGAAAACCCUUUUGCAAUUAUGUUCUUCAUUUUCAGCUGAAAACUGUUGUGCUGACUAAAGAAACAAUAAAACUGGCCUUUAGACUAGUUAAGUAUCUGGAGCAUUAGUAAUUGUGGGUUCCAUUAUAGGCUCAAAAAGGCCAAAAACAAAGAACAUUCUCCUGAAACUCAGCCUAUUCUUGUUUUCCAAGAAAUGAAGGCAAUUCCAUGUGAGAACUUGUGGUAGGGGAUUUCCUAUUCAAUGGAAAACAAGGACAUUUCUAAGUGACCCCAAACUUCUGAAUGGUAGUGUAUGAUCUAUUUAGUUUUUCGAGCUGAUAUGAUUAAAAGUACAAUUAGUGAAGAAAAGCUAAGCAUUAGGCUGUCUGUUUAAAAAUAGGCAUAAUCACCCACCAAACAAGCCAGUCUGUAGAUGUGUGGUGGUUACUCAAGGCUUCAGAGGGCAGACAGGUACUCCAAUGUCAUAAUGCCAAUAUCUCUCCAUACCAGUGCUUAUGAAUUAACUUAAAUAGUAAUAAUGAUAACUAACAACAAAAUAUUUAAAACAAUUCAAGUAGAUGUGUUUUAAAAAGCAUGCAGACUUGGUAACACCUUUAACGGUACCAUAGUGGGGAUUGAAGCAAUAGCAAGAAAUACAUCAUGUACUUUUUCUUUAUCAUUAUUAUGAAUAGCUUGAGUAACAUUCAUUUAAAUUGUAACAGAAAAAAAAUGUAGGCAUUUUUUCCAUGUACAUUUCAUGUAGGGUUUUGUUGGUAUCUUCCGGGACCAACCCCAGAAUUUCCAAAUAAUUGAUAGAAUUGCCUUAAGACAGGCUAAACAACUCUAUUUCAAUAUAAAAUGUCAAUUUAAGCAUAGAAAUAUGAUACAAAUGUUUAUGUCUCUUUUUGGAAGAUGGGAUGUAUGUCUGACAGGCCACCACUGUCCACAAAGAUAAUCAUGAGAGUGACAAACACUGACAAAAGCCCUCUUCCACCAAUCAGUGAUGUGCAAAUCAGUAACACCCAUCACACACGGUCUGGGUUCCUGUUAACCUGUUGGGAGAGGAGGGGAAAGAGGAGCUGUACGGGCUGAUCCACAGUGAGAACAGGGGGAAGUUUAGAGGUCGGUACCCUGGAGUUUCUCCAUGGCCUUGGCGAGUUUCAUCUCAUGUCUGCGCAGGUGGUUGACCAGUGACUGUACGUAGGUAAACACACAUUUGGAGUCAGGCUUCUUCCCCAUGAUCAUCAUGUCCUCCACCUCCAGCAGGGGCAUGCAGUUGGCAAAGUCCCUAGAGGACACAAAUGGAGAGCUG
ensembl:lncRNA